AUUGAACGCUGGCGGCAGGCCUAACACAUGCAAGUCGAACGGUAACAGGAAGAAGCUUGCUUCUUUGCUGACGAGUGGCGGACGGGUGAGUAAUGUCUGGGAAACUGCCUGAUGGAGGGGGAUAACUACUGGAAACGGUAGCUAAUACCGCAUAACGUCGCAAGACCAAAAAGGGGGACCUUCGGGCCUCUUGCCAUCGGAUGUGCCCAGAUGGGAUUAGCUAGUAGGUGGGGUAACGGCUCACCUAGGCGACGAUCCCUAGCUGGUCUGAGAGGAUGACCAGCCACACUGGAACUGAGACACGGUCCAGACUCCUACGGGAAGCAGCAGUGGGGAACAUUGCACAAUGGGCGCAAGCCUGAUGCAGCCAUGCCGCGUGUAUGAAGAAGGCCUUCGGGUUGUAAAGUACUUUCAGCGGGGAGGAAGGGAGUAAAGUUAAUACCUUUGCUCAUUGACGUUACCCGCAGAAGAAGCACCGGCUAACUCCGUG
rnacentral:rRNA from 1 species